rnacentral:rRNA from 1 species
UGCUUAACACAUGCAAGUCGAACGGAAAGGCCCUGCUUUUGUGGGGUGCUCGAGUGGCGAACGGGUGAGUAACACGUGAGUAACCUGCCCUUGACUUUGGGAUAACUUCAGGAAACUGGGGCUAAUACCGGAUAGGAGCUCCUGCUGCAUGGUGGGGGUUGGAAAGUUUCGGCGGUUGGGGAUGGACUCGCGGCUUAUCAGCUUGUUGGUGGGGUAGUGGCUUACCAAGGCUUUGACGGGUAGCCGGCCUGAGAGGGUGACCGGCCACAUUGGGACUGAGAUACGGCCCAGACUCCUACGGGAGGCAGCAGUGGGGAAUAUUGCACAAUGGGCGGAAGCCUGAUGCAGCAACGCCGCGUGCGGGAUGACGGCCUUCGGGUUGUAAACCGCUUUCGCCUGUGACGAAGCGUGAGUGACGGUAAUGGGUAAAGAAGCACCGGCUAACUACGUGCCAGCAGCCGCGGUGAUACGUAGGGUGCGAGCGUUGUCCGGAUUUAUUGGGCGUAAAGGGCUCGUAGGUGGUUGAUCGCGUCGGAAGUGUAAUCUUGGGGCUUAACCCUGAGCGUGCUUUCGAUACGGGUUGACUUGAGGAAGGUAGGGGAGAAUGGAAUUCCUGGUGGAGCGGUGGAAUGCGCAGAUAUCAGGAGGAACACCAGUGGCGAAGGCGGUUCUCUGGGCCUUUCCUGACGCUGAGGAGCGAAAGCGUGGGGAGCGAACAGGCUUAGAUACCCUGGUAGUCCACGCUGUAAACGGUGGGUACUAGGUGUGGGGUCCAUUCCACGGGUUCCGUGCCGUAGCUAACGCUUUAAGUACCCCGCCUGGGGAGUACGGCCGCAAGGCUAAAACUCAAAGGAAUUGACGGGGCCCCGCACAAGCGGCGGAGCAUGCGGAUUAAUUCGAUGCAACGCGUAGAACCUUACCUGGGUUUGACAUGGAUCGGGAGUGCUCAGAGAUGGGUGUGCCUCUUUUGGGGUCGGUUCACAGGUGGUGCAUGGCUGUCGUCAGCUCGUGUCGUGAGAUGUUGGGUUAAGUCCCGCAACGAGCGCAACCCUUGUUCACUGUUGCCAGCACGUUAUGGUGGGGACUCAGUGGAGACCGCCGGGGUCAACUCGGGGGAAGGUGGGGAUGACGUCAAGUCAUCAUGCCCCUUAUGUCCAGGGCUUCACGCAUGCUACAAUGGCUGGUACAGAGAGUGGCGAGCCUGUGAGGGUGAGCGAAUCUCGGAAAGCCGGUCUCAGUUCGGAUUGGGGUCUGCAACUCGACCUCAUGAAGUCGGAGUCGCUAGUAAUCGCAGAUCAGCAACGCUGCGGUGAAUACGUUCCCGGGGCUUGUACACACCGCCCGUCAAGUCAUGAAAGUUGGUAACACCCGAAGCCGGUGGCCUAACCGUUGUGGGGGAGCCGUCGAAGGUGGGACUGGUGAUUAGGACUAAGU